UAAACUUUAUAGAUACUAAAUUUGAUCCACCACAGAGUGCUUCUCAUGCUUAAAUUGGAAUAAUGGCUUAAUACUUGGAAAAAAAAAGCCAGAGUAAUUGGACCACUCAAAACCAUUAAUUUGUUAUACAUUGUACUGCAGUCAACUUGGCAGCAAUGAACCUCUGAGCUAGUGUCAACCUAAAUGGAUGAAAUGUAAAGAUUACUUUUUACAGAAUGUCCAGGAAAUCUUCAAAUGCAGGAUGUAAGCUGACACAGAAGAAUUUCGAAAUGUUCUCUUAUAGAGGUUAAAUAAAGUGAUGUGCUAUUAUAUAUAAUACAAUCAUAACAAAUAAUCUAAUUAAAUCAAAACAGGAGCUCAAAGGAUUAGUGAACAAUUCAAAUGACUUUAAGAACAGAAUAUUGAAGUAACUGCAUGCAUGAAUAUACAAGGCAAGGAAUAUAUAUUUAAAUGUCAGUAAACUGUUAUACAUGUAUUAAAGCAUAAAAAUAUCCUCUUUGUGAAUAUUUCUAUGAAGAUGUGAUUGGAGAACACAAUACAUGUACUAGUGACCAAUGACUUGAGAAUUCCAUCUCCUUAGCCAGAAGAACUGCAGAAAAUGAUAUAUUCUACAUGUAUAAUGUGAAUUCAGUGUUUUAAUGCUGGAAUGUGGAGCUGUUGAUUAACUUGUCAGUACUGGAAUUUAAAAUACUGUGAAACAGGAAAUUAAAAUUCAACAUUCUUAAAAAUGACUGGAUAUUAGUAACAAUCAAAAAAUGUUUUUUUCAAAGAUUUGUUAUUUUUUACCAAAUAAAGUCUGUUUUGUUCAGAAA